rnacentral:rRNA from 1 species
GAUGAACGCUGGCGGCGUGCCUAAUACAUGCAAGUCGAGCGAACAGACGAGGAGCUUGUUCCUCUGACGUUAGCGGCGGACGGGUGCGUAACAUGUGGAUAACCUCCCUAUAAGACUGGGACAACUUCGGGAAACCGGAGCUAAUACCGGAUAAUAUAUUGAACCGCAUGGUUCAAUAGUGAAAGACGGUCUUGCUGUCACUUAUAGAUGGAUCCGCGCCGCAUUAGCUAGUUGGUAAGGUAACGGCUUACCAAGGCAACGAUGCGUAGCCGACCUGAGAGGGUGAUCGGCCACACUGGAACUGAGACACGGUCCAGACUCCUACGGGAGGCAGCAGUAGAGAAUCUUCCGCAAUGGGCGAAAGCUUGACGGAGCAACGCCGCGUGAGUGAUGAAGGUCUUCGGAUCGUAAAACUCUGUUAUUAGGGAAGAACAAAUGUGUAAGUAACUAUACACGUCUUGACGGUACCUAAUCAGAAAGCCACGGCUAACUACGUG